rnacentral:rRNA from 1 species
GCCUACACAUGCAGUCGAGCGCAACGAGUUAUCUGAACCUUCGGGGGUCGAUAACGGCGUCGAGCGGCGGACGGGUGAGUAAUGCCUAGGAAAUAGCCCUGAUGUGGGGGAUAACCUUGGAAACGAUGGCUAAAUACCGCAUGAUGCCUACGGGCCAAAGAGGGGGACCUUCGGGCCUCUCGCGUCAGGAUAUGCCUAGGUGGGAUUAGCUAGUUGGUGAGGUAAGGGCUCACCAAGGCGACGAUCCCUAGCUGGUCUGAGAGGAUGAUCAGCCACACUGGAACUGAGACACGGUCCAGACUCCUACGGGAGGCAGCAGUGGGGAAUAUUGCACAAUGGGCGCAAGCCUGAUGCAGCCAUGCCGCGUGUGUGAAGAAGGCCUUCGGGUUGUAAAGCACUUUCAGUCGUGAGGAAGGUAGUGUAGUUAAUAGCUGCAUUAUUUGACGUUAGCGACAGAAGAAGCACCGGCUAACUCCGUGCCAGCAGCCGCGGUAAUACGGAGGGUGCGAGCGUUAAUCGGAAUUACUGGGCGUAAAGCGCAUGCAGGUGGUUUGUUAAGUCAGAUGUGAAAGCCCGGGGCUCAACCUCGGAAUUGCAUUUGAAACUGGCAGACUAGAGUACUGUAGAGGGGGGUAGAAUUUCAGGUGUAGCGGUGAAAUGCGUAGAGAUCUGAAGGAAUUACCGGUGGCGAAGGCGGCCCCCUGGACAGAUACUGACACUCAGAUGCGAAAGCGUGGGGAGCAAACAGGAUUAAUACCCUGGUAGUCCACGCCGUAAACGAUGUCUACUUGGAGGUUCUGGCCUUGAGCCGAGGCUUUCGGAGCUAACG